GGGGAGAUCGCGGGGGAACUCUCGCUCUUACCCCGUACAACCUCUUCGUGAGAGCACGGGACCUCCUCGCCUCGUGCGCAUAUAUAAGACCCUGUCUCAUUAUAUAUAUGUGGGGGUAUAGGGCCCCCCCGGGGACAAUACCCAUAUGUGCUGAGAGAAGGAGCUCCCCCACUGUGACUGUGACACGCGCCCCACACCCCCACGAGAGGCCACUGGGGAAUAUAGUGCAAUGUGCGCGCGCCUCUUACCCCCACACCCCGCGGGUGAGAAAAGGCUCCUCGUUGUGAAGACCUUUUGUGGGGAAAAAAAAAAACACACUUAUUACAUGUGUGUGCUGAGGGGACCCCCAGAAUAUACGCCCCGUAUAUUUUCGCCCCCGGACGCGGUAUUACGAGAGGGGCCCGCGUUACUCUGAGUUACAGUGCGUAAAGCGCGCGCAGAGGUGUGUGUAAGACUGUUGUGUAAAACCUGUGGUCUACAUGUGAAUAGCGCUGUAGACAGUGCGAGUCUAGAGUGUGAUAGAGUAUAGUGAUUCCUCUUGUGUCACAGUGAUGCGUAGAGAUCAGGAGGAACAUCUCUGGCGAGAGCGCAUACCUGUGCACCACACUGACACUGGGCACGAAAGCGUGGGGAGCAAACAAUAAUAGAUACUGUGAUAGUCCACGCUAAACGAUGCGAACUGGUGUGGGUGCAAUUGGCACGCAGUAGAAGCUACGCGUUGUUCGCCGCCUGGGGAGUACGGUCGCAAGACUGAAACUCAAAGGAAUUGACGGGGGCCCGCACAAGCGGUGGAGUAUGUGGUUUAAUUCGAUGCAACGCGAAGAACCUUACCUGGCCUUGACAUGUCGAGAACUUUCCAGAGAUGGAUUGGUGCCUUCGGGAACUCGAACACAGGUGCUGCAUGGCUGUCGUCAGCUCGUGUCGUGAGAUGUUGGGUUAAGUCCCGCAACGAGCGCAACCCUUGUCCUUAGUUGCCAGCACGUAAUGGUGGGAACUCUAAGGAGACCGCCGGUGACAAACCGGAGGAAGGUGGGGAUGACGUCAAGUCAUCAUGGCCCUUACGGCCAGGGCUACACACGUACUACAAUGGUAGGGACAGAGGGCCGCAAACCCGCGAGGGCAAGCCAAUCCCAGAAACCCUAUCUCAGUCCGGAUUGGAGUCUGCAACUCGACUCCAUGAAGUCGGAAUCGCUAGUAAUCGCAGAUCAGCAUUGCUGCGGUGAAUACGUUCCCGGGCCUUGUACA
rnacentral:rRNA from 1 species